rnacentral:rRNA from 1 species
UACGGAGGAUGCGAGCGUUAUCCGGAUUUAUUGGGUUUAAAGGGUGCGUAGGCGGACUGUCAAGUCAGCGGUAAAAUUGAGAGGCUCAACCUCUUCCCGCCGUUGAAACUGGUGGUCUUGAGUGGAUGAGAAGUACGCGGAAUGCGUGGUGUAGUGGUGAAAUGCAUAGAUAUCACGCAGAACUCCGAUUGCGAAGGCAGCGUACCGGCAUCCAACUGACGCUGAGGCACGAAAGCGUGGGGAUCAAACAGG